GCGAAAACUUUACAAUGCUGGCAACAGCGAUAAGGGAACCUCGAGUGCCAGGUUACAAAUCUGGCUGUCGAGAUGCCUAAAAAGCAUUUUAUAGCAAGGGCCGGGCAAGACCGGUGCCAGCCGCCGCGGUAACACCGGCGGCUCGAGUGGUAACCGUUAUUAUUGGGUCUAAAGGGUCUGUAGCCGGCCGGAUAAGUCUCUUGAGAAAUCUGGCAGCUUAACUGUCAGGCUUUCAGGAGAUACUGUCUGGCUCGAGGCCGGGAGAGGUGAGAGGUACUUCAGGGGUAGGGGUGAAAACUUGUAAUCCUUGAAGGACCACCAGUGGCGAAGGCGUCUCACCAUAACGGACCUGGCGGCAAGGGACGAAAGCUAGGGGCACGAACC
rnacentral:rRNA from 1 species